UCGUUGAAACGACGUAGAGUUUUGGUCAGAAUGGUCGGUUUCCGUCGUACGUCAGAAAAUCAACGUUGAAACGGCGCCGUGAAACGUCGAUUUCUCCGCCGUCUGAGAGGGUUGAUUUAUCACCGUUGAAUCAACGUGGGUAAAGGUUGAUCUGUCGACCGUCAGAGAAGGUUGAAUAUACGACGUUGAACCAUCGUCACUUUUGCCGGCCAGUUUUCAACAUUGGUAGGAUGAGCUGGCCCGUAGCCAGGGGGGAUCGGAGGCUCAUUCGAUCCCCCCCCCGCGACACCGCGCCCCGGACACACACGCCUCAAGAUUACUCAAGAUUUAUUCAUUUGUUCAUGUCCGAUGAAUAUACAUUGAUUCACAUUUAAAUUUACAAUAUCAAAUCCAGACUAAUCAAAAAAGAAAAGUAGACUAAGUGAGGACGAGUUAGAAAAACGGGUUCAUUUCUCCUAUGUUUAUGUUUACACGUUUUGUUCAGACUGCUUUACACCCCAAUCCAGUGGGUGGCGGUAAUGCCCCCAUUAGACCCCUUUCACUGACGUCACCCGAAACCGGAAGUAAACAAACCCUGCGCCACAUUGGAAGACCAACAAACUCGUGAUUUGGGGGAAAUAAAGGCAGCGCGCGGUAUGUGAACCCACGAGGCACUUGGUUCAUCAUAAACCUACAAUGGUAAACUUUUGUGCUGUGUUAGGGUUCUAACAAAGCUGAUGGGAAAGGUGAAAAGAAGUCUUUCUACAGAAUACCAGCUGUGUUUGAGACACAAGCAAACCAAGGAGCUUUCUGCCAGGAGACAGAGAGAGGAUUUAGCUGCUUUAUGCAGAGCGGAUCUGAAUACUUCAAGUCUAUUUUGUUACUGGUCUGCGCCGCAGGAGGAAUAGGCCACAAUUAUAAAUAAAUCAUAAAAUGUUUCUAAGAA